UACGGGGGGAGCAAGCGUUGUUCGGAUUUACUGGGCGUAAAGGGCGCGUAGGCGGCGCAACAAGUCACUUGUGAAAUCUCCGGGCUUAACCCGGAGCGGUCAAGUGAUACUGUCGUGCUAGAGUGCGGAAGGGGCUACUGGAAUUCUCGGUGUAGCGGUGAAAUGCGUAGAUAUCGAGAGGAACACCUGGCGGCGAAAGGCAGCUCGCUGGGGACGUAA
rnacentral:rRNA from 1 species